GACGAACGCUGGCGGCGUGCCUAAUACAUGCAAGUUGAGCGCUGAAGGUUGGUACUUGUACCAACUGGAUGAGCAGCGAACGGGUGAGUAACGCGUGGGGAAUCUGCCUUUGAGCGGGGGACAACAUUUGGAAACGAAUGCUAAUACCGCAUAAAAACUUUAAACACAAGUUUUAAGUUUGAAAGAUGCAAUUGCAUCACUCAAAGAUGAUCCCGCGUUGUAUUAGCUAGUUGGUGAGGUAAAGGCUCACCAAGGCGAUGAUACAUAGCCGACCUGGGAGGGUGAUCGGCCACAUUGGGACUGAGACACGGCCCAAACUCCUACGGGAGGCAGCAGUAGGGAAUCUUCGGCAAUGGACGAAAGUCUGACCGAGCCACGCCGCGUGAGUGAAGAAGGUUUUCGGAUCGUAAAACUCUGUUGGUAGAGAAGAACGUUGGUGAGAGUGGAAAGCUCAUCAAGUGACGGUAACUACCCAGAAAGGGACGGCUAACUACGUG
rnacentral:rRNA from 1 species